rnacentral:rRNA from 1 species
UACGGAGGGUGCGAACGUUAAUCGGAAUCACUGGGCGUAAAGCGCGCGUAGGCGGUUUGUUAAGUGGGAUGUGAAAGCCCUGGGCUUAACCUGGGAAUUGCAUUUCAAACUAGCGAACUAGAGUGCGGUAGAGGGAGGUAGAAUUUCCUGUGUAGCGGUGAAAUGCGUAGAUAUAGGAAGGAAUACCAGUGGCGAAGGCGGCCUCCUGGAUCGACACUGACGCUAAGGCGCGAAAGCGUGGGGAGCAAACAGG